rnacentral:tRNA from 3 species
GCGCCCGUAGCUCAGCUGGAUAGAGCGCUGCCCUCCGAAGGCAGAGGUCAGAGGUUCGAAUCCUCUCGGGCGCGCCA